CUCAGCCUCUGGUGAAACUGGACUUUCAAGUCUGUGCAGGUGAAGGUGUGUGAGAGCGCCCGAGAUGGCAGAACAAGAGCUACAGACUGAGUGUCCCUUUGCCUGGCUGUGAGAUGAAAAUCCUUGAUUUCCUCAAUUUUUUGAGACAUGGCAACAAGGAGCACAGGGAGAGGUCGCGGACUGGCAACCCAAGAGGUGAAAGGGCAGGCUGCCAGAUCCUUCGAUGUCCUGCCGUUCUUCCCAGCUCUUACUCAGACAUUUAAUCAGAAGUCCUCUCAGGAAUACCCGAGUGGGACACUGGAAAGAAAUUAAGCCAGCUCCAAGCAAAUGACAGGUGCUUCCCAUUCCUCUGUGUGCUCUCGAAGCUCUGAAGCCUGCGCCGCACAGCACGGCAGUCCUGGCGGCAGUGAGACAAGGACACUGAGGCACAGGGAAGUUCAAGAACGUACCUGAGAUCAUACCGUUGUAAACAUGUCAGAACAGCAGCUAUGUGGAACAAGUGAAGACUGGUUGCUAUCCAAUCUGCCAAUUUUCAGAUAAAAGAGCGGGAUCUGAUAAGUGACAGAUUACCAUGAGAACGUUUGCAGUGGGAUCUUUUCAGGUUUACCAUUUCGGCACCAAAUAUUAAGUUGAUCCCAACUGCUCGUGACACUUAGCUUGGUCUGACCUUGGACUGUGCAGAGUUAUAUAAAGACCACAAAUGUUGAAGAUGUCAUUUCUAAAUCCUCUCCUGAAGGAACUAGGUUUCAGAAUGAGGUAUACUUAAAAUCAAAACAAUAUUUAUAAAAACCACUCCAGAAUUUUCUUUAUUAAAAAAGGAAGGUGGUUUUUAAAACCAAGGUAAAUAAAUGCAGUAAAUAUAAGCACUAUUUCCUAGUUUUCUUAUCUAAAGAGUCAAAGCAAUAAGAUACAGCUUUAAUUGGUGCCAUGAAUCCUUGAUUGGCUGGAAUUCUUUGGGAAUAGCAUGCUUUGGUUAAGUAGAUUUUCUCUACUUUGUAGAAAAUUUUUCUAGAAGAUAGUUUUAUCCUUUUCUACCCUUUUAUUUCCUUGCUCCCUCCUAUUUCCUCUCCUUUACUUCUUAAAAAUGAGGAUAAGGGAUAUAAGUCAAUAUUUCAGCUCCUCUGGAUAAUCAGUCUGAGCACUGAAUGGGCUGGGCCGCAGUGGUGCACUGGCUGUGCUCUGAGUGACACAGGAAGGCGCAGGGGCAUUCGCAGCAAAGAGUGGCAGGCUCUGACCCGAGCGCACCAGGGCCCCUGACUGCCAUGUUGAGAAUGGGCUGCAGAAGGGCAAGCAGGGGGCUGGGCCAGCAGCUCCGCACACGCCCCAGUGGCAGGUGAGGGUGACUUGGGUGCAGGGUCAGUAGUAAAUCCAUGGAAUGAGGGGUCAGAGUCGGGAUGUAUUUUGGAGGCAGAACCAAGUGAUUUCUGACAAACUGAAAGUGAGUGUGAUAAGAGAGGAGUCCAGAAUGACCUCUAGGUUUUCUCCUGAGCUGCUGGAAGGAUGGAGUUUCCACUUGACUGAGAUGAAGCCUGGAGCCGGAACAGGCUGGAGGCCGAGGGAGGAGAAAGGGAAAGUUGGGCAUGAAGAGUUUGUUUGGAGACAAGUUAAGCGGUGAUGACAAGCUGGGCAUAUGAGACGGGGGUUUAGGGGAGAGGUCCAGGCUAGAGAUGCAAAUUUGAGAGAUACCAGUAUAAAGUUGCGAUUAGUACCAGGAAAUGAGCAUAACACAGAGGGCGCGGCAGGACAAGCACCCUAGGACAGCGUGCUGUCCAUGUCUCCACACAGAAGAGGAGGAGCGCUACCAAGGAGACUGCUAUCACAGACCCAGGACGCUUGGACACACCUGUUGGUUUGCAUUUUUGUCUCUUAUUAGUAAAGUCCGGUGCCAAUCGCAGUGCUUGGCAGAGACCUUCAAUAAAUGUUUGUGGGAAGGAAGACAGGAAGAAAAAGAGGGAGGCAGGGAGGGAGGGAGGACCGUGAGUUCUAGGUGUGUCCUGCAGGUAGGCUGCUAAGGCUGCCUGGGAAAUGCUGCUGCACCGAGGUGUCAGGGACCUUGAGGCUGGGAUGCUGAAUGGGUUGCUACAGAGCUGUUUAUGGUCGUCCCUGAGAUGAUGGCAGGAUUUAGGGUGAAAGGAAAAGUGUGAGCCAGAAGACAAGGGCCUCAGUGACUGCAGGGAAUUGAGGGGACAGCCCACAGUUGACAGCAGUGAAUCCCAGACAGCACUUUGCACAAAUGGCUCGGUCUCAAAGGAGGAAGGGUUUUUGCAGGAGAAUGCUGAGUAGGGAUCUGAGGCAGCACCUGGGGGAGGCAGCAGAACCACCUUCCCUUAAAAGGACUACAGAUAAGGUGGCCCCUGGGGGAGAGCAUUGUUUUAGUUAAGGAAGAAAAAAAAAGUUUCCUGAAAACAAAGUGGAGGAUGCAGAAGAGUUUGAUCCCAAUAAAUAAAGGUUCCAGAGGGCACAGGAACAUACCUUUGGAGGAAGGCCAGUAGUGAAAAGCAGAAUGAGGAAGAAGAAAGCAUGGCACAUUCUAGGUGCAAGAAGCUGCAGGGUCCAGCAUUUUGACCAAGGCCAAGGUUGGCAGAGGGGAAGGCAUGAUGGAAACAUCCAUCUUCCAGAUUCUGGCCCGCAGAGACCAAGCAUUCGGCUGGUGCUGGCGGCCUGAUAAAGUUAGCAGAAUGCUGUCAUUCCUCAGCCUUCAUAUAGAACAUUCUUGGGAAAAUGUCCUGGUGUCUCCCUAAAGAACUCUAGUUCAGGUGUUAAGGACAGGGUCAGUGGGCCUCUGGUUGAAGCACAGCAGGCCGCAGGGGCCAUCAGGCCUAAGGGUUCAUGGAGUAAAAUGAGAGGUGCUUUCAGGUGUCCCUCCUGAGAGAAUGCUCCCCCCAGAAGAGUGGAGGGGACAAGCUGGGCUUCUAGCCUAUGCUGACCUUCUCAUCUAGGUGGAACCCUGGCGGCUCACCUGGUAAACAGGACCAAAGACACCCUGAGCCAGGCUGUGGAUGGCUUGGACAGGAAGAUUCUGUUAUAGCCCUUUCCAUCUGAUUAUCCUCCUUUCUACUCUUCCCAUGGUUGUCCUAUCCUCUUCCUGCUGAAACUGUUCACGUGCCAGGCACAGUGGCAAGUGCUACUUGGGAGGCCAAGGCAGGAGGACAGCUUGAGUCCAGGAGUUCAAAUCCAGCCUGGGCAACAUAGCAAGAUCCCCGUCUGUAAUAAUUAGAAAAAAAAAAUUGUUUACAUGAAAAUGAACCUAUUUGUCUUCUUCCUGCUAGAACAUGAAAUCCUCAAGGACAGAGAAGUGUCUUAGCCAUGUUUGUAUCUUCUGCAACUAGAACCUUGCCUUUAUUCAGUCAUCCAAGCAUCUGAAGAUUGGGGAAAUAGGAUGAAAAUGGGUAAGGAUUCAGAAAGUCUCUCCCUGAGGACUUGGCAGCCACGAAUGUCUCUGCAAGUGUCCAAGCUGUUCCCUUUCUCUGGGCCAACUUGAUGUAUGGCAGACACCAAUAGCAAGCAGCAUGCAGUAGCUAAGCAAGGCUGGGAAGUCCUGUUCUACACCUCCCUGGUCCAUAUUUAACUCAAACAAAUAAAUGCUUAGGUUCUUUU